rnacentral:rRNA from 1 species
UUCCGGUUGAUCCCGCCGGACCCCACUGCUAUCGAGGUGGGACUAAGCCAUGCCAGUCGAACGACCCGGACUAUGGCGGGGAGUGGCAGACUGCUCAGUAACACGUAGCUAACCUACCCUCGGGACGGGGAUAACCCCGGGAAACUGGGGCUAAUACCCGAUAGGUAUGGAUUCCUGGAAUGGUGCCAUGCCUAAACGUAAGCACAUCCAUGUUUGUGUGCACGCCCGAGGAUGGGGCUGCGGCCGAUCAGGCAGUUGGUGAGGUAACGGCUCACCAAACCUUUGACCGGUACGGGCCAUGAGAGUGGUAGCCCGGAGAUGGGCACUGAGACAAGGGCCCAGGCCCUACGGGGCGCAGCAGGCGCGAAACCUCCACAAUUCACGCAAGUGAGAUGGGGUUACCUCGAGUGCUAUCUGAAGAAGGUGGCUUUUCCAUGGUGUAAUGAGCCGUGGGAAUAAGGGGGGGGCAAGACUGGUGUCAGCCGCCGCGGUAACACCAGCCCCCCGAGUGGUGGGGAUGAUUAUUUGGCCUAAAGCGUCCGUAGCCAGCUCGGUAAAUCUCUCGUUAAAUCCAGCGUCCUAAGCGUUGGGCUGCGAGGGAAACUGCCGAACUAGAGGGUGGGAGAGGUCAGCGGUAUUCCUGGGGUAGGGGCGAAAUCCAUUGAUCCCAGGAGGACCACCAGUGGCGAAGGCUGCUGACUAGAACACGCCUGACGGUGAGGGACGAAAGCUGGGGUAGCGAAUCGGAUUAGAUACCCGAGUAGUCCCAGCCGUAAACGAUGCAGGCUAGGUGUUGGGUCGGCCAUGCGCCGCCUCAGUGCCACAGGGAAGCCAUUAAGCCUGCCGCCUGGGGAGUACGGCCGCAAGGCUGAAACUUAAAGGAAUUGGCGGGGGAGCACCACCAGGCGUGAAGCCUGCGGUUUAAUUGGAGUCAACGCCGGAAAUCACUA